UGAGGAAUAUUGCACAAUGGGCGCAAGCCUGAUGCAGCAACGCCGCGUGCGGGACGAAGGCCUUCGGGUCGUAAACCGCUUUUCUGGGGGAAGAGCAAGGACGGUACCUCAGGAAUAAGUCUCGGCUAACUACGUGCCAGCAGCCGCGGUAAAACGUAGGAGGCGAGCGUUAUCCGGAUUUACUGGGCGUAAAGCGCGUGCAGGCGGAUUGGAGAGUUGGAUGUGAAAGCUCCCGGCUUAACUGGGAGAGGUCGUCCAAUACUUCCAGUCUUGAGUGCAGUAGAGGGAAGUGGAAUUCCGGGUGUAGUGGUGAAAUGCGUAGAUAUCCGGAGGAACACCAGUGGCGAAAGCGGCUUCCUGGACUGUAACUGACGCUCAGACGCGAAAGCUAGGGUAGCAAACG
rnacentral:rRNA from 1 species